CGGGACGGGUGAGUAAUGUCUGGGAAACUGCCUGAUGGAGGGGGAUAACCGCUGGAAACGGUAGCUAAUACCGCAUAACGUCGCAAGACCAAAGAGGGGGACCUUCGGGCCUCUUGCCAUCGGAUGUGCCCAGAUGGGAUUAGCUAGUAGGUGGGGUAACGGCUCACCUAGGCGACGAUCCCUAGCUGGUCUGAGAGGAUGACCAGCCACACUGGAACUGAGACACGGUCCAG
rnacentral:rRNA from 1 species